AGAGUUUGAUCCUGGCUCAGGAUGAACGCUAGCGGCAGGCCUAAUACAUGCAAGUCGGACGGGAUUGGGGAGCUUGCUCCCCAUGAGAGUGGCGCACGGGUGCGUAACACGUAUGUAACCUACCUUAAUCUGGGGGAUAGCCUCUCGAAAGAGAGAUUAACACCGCAUAACAUGUUUUAACAGCAUUGUUGAAACAUCAAAUAUUUAUAGGAUUAAGAUGGGCAUGCGGAACAUUAGCUAGUUGGUAAGGUAAUGGCUUACCAAGGCUACGAUGUUUAGGGGAUCUGAGAGGAUGACCCCCCACACUGGUACUGAGACACGGACCAGACUCCUACGGGAGGCAGCAGUAAGGAAUAUUGGUCAAUGGGCGCAAGCCUGAACCAGCCAUGCCGCGUGCAGGAAGACGGCCCUACGGGUUGUAAACUGCUUUUAUACCGGAAUAAACCUUGAUACGUGUAUCGAGCUGAAUGUACGGUAAGAAUAAGGAUCGGCUAACUCCGUGCCAGCAGCCGCGGUAAUACGGAGGAUCCAAGCGUUAUCCGGAUUUAUUGGGUUUAAAGGGUGCGUAGGUGGCCUGUUAAGUCAGGGGUGAAAGACGGUAGCUUAACUAUCGCAGUGCCUUUGAUACUGACGGGCUUGAAUACACUAGAGGUAGGCGGAAUGUGACAAGUAGCGGUGAAAUGCAUAGAUAUGUCACAGAACACCAAUUGCGAAGGCAGCUUACUAUGGUGUCAUUGACACUGAGGCACGAAAGCGUGGGGAUCAAACAGGAUUAGAUACCCUGGUAGUCCACGCCCUAAACGAUGAAUACUCGAUGUUGGCGAUAUACGGUCAGCGUCUAAGCGAAAGCGUUAAGUAUUCCACCUGGGGAGUACGCCCGCAAGGGUGAAACUCAAAGGAAUUGACGG
rnacentral:rRNA from 1 species